GGUAGGGGAGCGUUCUGUAAGCCUGCGAAGGUGGCCUGUGAGGGUUGCUGGAGGUAUCAGAAGUGCGAAUGCUGACAUAAGUAACGAUAAAGCGGGUGAAAAGCCCGCUCGCCGGAAGACCAAGGGUUCCUGUCCAACGUUAAUCGGGGCAGGGUGAGUCGACCCCUAAGGCGAGGCCGAAAGGCGUAGUCGAUGGGAAACGGGUUAAUAUUCCCGUACUUGGUGUUACUGCGAAGGGGGGACGGAGAAGGCUAUGUUGGCCGGGCGACGGUUGUCCCGGUUUAAGCGUGUAGGUGUGUGUUCCAGGUAAAUCCGGUUCACUUUAACACUGAGGCGUGACGACGAGGCACUACGGUGCUGAAGCAACAAAUGCCCUGCUUCCAGGAAAAGCCUCUAAGCAUCAGGUAACAUCAAAUCGUACCCCAAACCGACACAGGUGGUCAGGUAGAGAAUACCAAGGCGCUUGAGAGAACUCGGGUGAAGGAACUAGGCAAAAUGGUGCCGUAACUUCGGGAGAAGGCACGCUGACACGUAGGUGAAGUGAUUUACUCAUGGAGCUGAAGUCAGUCGAAGAUACCAGCUGGCUGCAACUGUUUAUUAAAAACACAGCACUGUGCAAACACGAAAGUGGACGUAUACGGUGUGACGCCUGCCCGGUGCCGGAAGGUUAAUUGAUGGGGUCAGCGCAAGCGAAGCUCCUGAUCGAAGCCCCGGUAAACGGCGGCCGUAACUAUAACGGUCCUAAGGUAGCGAAAUUCCUUGUCGGGUAAGUUCCGACCUGCACGAAUGGCGUAAUGAUGGCCAGGCUGUCUCCACCCGAGACUCAGUGAAAUUGAACUCGCUGUGAAGAUGCAGUGUACCCGCGGCAAGACGGAAAGACCCCGUGAACCUUUACUAUAGCUUGACACUGAACAUUGAGCCUUGAUGUGUAGGAUAGGUGGGAGGCUUUGAAGUGUGGACGCCAGUCUGCAUGGAGCCGACCUUGAAAUACCACCCUUUAAUGUUUGAUGUUCUAACGUGGACCCGUGAUCCGGGUUGCGGACAGUGUCUGGUGGGUAGUUUGACUGGGGCGGUCUCCUCCUAAAGAGUAACGGAGGAGCACGAAGGUUGGCUAAUCCUGGUCGGACAUCAGGAGGUUAGUGCAAUGGCAUAAGCCAGCUUGACUGCGAGCGUGACGGCGCGAGCAGGUGCGAAAGCAGGUCAUAGUGAUCCGGUGGUUCUGAAUGGAAGGGCCAUCGCUCAACGGAUAAAAGGUACUCCGGGGAUAACAGGCUGAUACCGCCCAAGAGUUCAUAUCGACGGCGGUGUUUGGCACCUCGAUGUCGGCUCAUCACAUCCUGGGGCUGAAGUAGGUCCCAAGGGUAUGGCUGUUCGCCAUUUAAAGUGGUACGCGAGCUGGGUUUAGAACGUCGUGAGACAGUUCGGUCCCUAUCUGCCGUGGGCGCUGGAGAACUGAGGGGGGCUGCUCCUAGUACGAGAGGACCGGAGUGGACGCAUCACUGGUGUUCGGGUUGUCAUGCCAAUGGCACUGCCCGGUAGCUAAAUGCGGAAGAGAUAAGUGCUGAAAGCAUCUAAGCACGAAACUUGCCCCGAG
rnacentral:rRNA from 1 species